UCCUCGGUAGCUCAAUUGGUAGAGCGAGCGGCUGUUAACCGCUAGGUUCGGGGUUCAAGUCCCUGCCGAGGAG
rnacentral:tRNA from 1 species